UAUACUUAUUUUCUGUUUCGUGUGCAGCAAUAUUUGUCAGAAAUGAGAGGUCCGUCUAGAAAACACAACAGCUCCCAAUCAACAGAUCAACUCUGAGCUCCAACUGAGCCAACAAGUCCUUCAGGCGUCAAUCCUGGUUCUCUCAAUGCAAUUUCUUCCUUUCUUGUCCAUUUAACAUCAAGCAUUGUUUUCCCUUACAUGUAUUUCCAUAAUUUUAAUUAGGACAAAUGAACAAUCCUGCUAUGAAGCCUGUACUGCAGAAGAAGAGAGUAGCUAGACAGAUGAGGCAUGAUAAUGAUAACACUGCAUUUCAGGAACCCAGUGCUAUUGUUCACGUACUUUGUUGAGGCUGGGGCAUUUGCUGUAAGGCGAGUGUGGAAAAAGGAUACGUGCCAUGUUGCCAAGGCGAAUAGGGAACUGGUGUUACUUUGGCUUUUAUGAUUUAUGACAUCGGCGUUUGCUCAUGCAGUACCAAAUAUACCCUUGAGAUUUCGUGGCUCAUUAUUUAUAUGACAUAUCGUGG